rnacentral:rRNA from 1 species
UCCGCGGCGGCGUCCUAUACAUGCAAGUCGAGCGGACAGAUGGGGAGCUUGCUCCCUGAUGUUAGCGGCGGACGGGUGAGUAACACGUGGGUAACCUGCCUGUAAGACUGGGAUAACUCCGGGAAACCGGGGCUAAUACCGGAUGCUUGAUUGAACCGCAUGGUUCAAUUAUAAAAGGUGGCUUUUAGCUACCACUUACAGAUGGACCCGCGGCGCAUUAGCUAGUUGGUGAGGUAACGGCUCACCAAGGCAACGAUGCGUAGCCGACCUGAAAGGGUGAUCGGCCACACUGGGACUGAAACACGGCCCAGACUCCUACGGGAGGCAGCAGUAGGGAAUCUUCCGCAAUGGACAAAAGUCUGACGGAGCAACGCCGCGUGAGUGAUGAAGGUUUUCGGAUCGUAAAACUCUGUUGUUAGGGAAGAACAAGUACCGUUCAAAUAGGGCGGUACCUUGACGGUACCUAACCAGAAAGCCACGGCUAACUACGUGCCAGCACCAGCGGUAAUACGUAGGUGGCAAGCGUUGUCCGGAAUUAUUGGGCGUAAAGCGCGCGCAGGCGGAUUCUUACGUCUGAUGUGAAAGCCCCCGGCUCAACCGGGGAGGGUCAUUGGAAACUGGGGAACUUAAGUGCAGAUAAGGAAGUGGAUUCCCUCGUGUAGCGGGGAAAAUCCACAAGAUGUGUA